GGCGAGUCUCACAGGGCUGCUCUUUACCACAGCAUCAUGAAAGGUGCUUAGAAAACAAACAUGGAAGGAGAAAGGAACAUUCCCUGUCCUAUCACAUCCAGGAUGUUUGCUCCUGAGUGUGUGCAAAUUCUUGAUGUGGUGCGAGCCUGGCUCAGCCAAACAAAUUGCGGCCUUGACCUCCCUCCCUGCUCCAGGGUACACCACAGGUGAGUGGUUUAACAAAGAAAAACCUAAAAGUGUGACCACCCUGUGCAGCUGCUGUCGGGUCAGGCUGAGCCCUUGGUCCUGCUCCAGGCACUCAGAGGUUUGGGGAGGAGAGGGCUGGUUUGUGUGUCUCCACAGGGCAACAGGACCUCGGCUUGUGUGGGAAACCCAGCCCAGGGACCACAGUGUUGGCACAAGCGGUCGGGAGGUGUGAGAAUUCCUGGAAGAAGAAGUGAGAGUUUUUUCUGUGUUCUUCCUUGAAAUAGGAGCUGGUGGUGCCGGGGAUGGGGAUGCCCAGGACUGUUUAUCCCAGGUGUCAGAAGCCCCAGACCUGGCAGGAUUUGAGCCUUCAAUGAUUAUCAGAGGGAUGACGUGGCUCCUUCUCACAGCCUGUUCUGCUCAGGAUGAUGCUCAGUGAAUCUCAUGGCCAUGAUUUUCUUGGAGCUGUGAAUGCAGAAAAUACAAACUUUCCUAUAGGCACUGGGAACAGGUUAAAAAGGAAUCAGGAAAGGUAUGUAUGGACUUUUGGUGAUGAUAAGGACAUGGGAUGCUGUAGAGCUGGUGCAGCCUGUUUAAGCAAUGUUUCCUGGGGAGCUCUCACAGGCCCCAGGACACAGAGCUGCAGGGCACCUGGGAAAGAGAUAAGCUGAGAUAAGGAGAGAGAAACACAUCUGGAGAAAGCAGUGCAGUCCUCCUCCCCAAACUGAGCUGGACAUGGAGUUUUCUUGGUGCUGUUUGAGUAGCAGAGGUUGUGUGGGUCCCUUUACAUGUCCAGUCUUUGAAAGAAGAGCCUUUCCUAUGAGAAACUCAGUGUGUCCAGGGGGUUGUGAGAGCUGUAAGAGACCCUGACCCUCAUCACUCAUGAAAAAUGCAGAGGAACUGUUCAGAAAGGGACUGGGAUAUCUCUGCUGGACAGGAAAGGAAAUUUUGCAAAUUUCCUGCAGGCUUCCCA